CUGGGCUAGAAUGCCUCUGACCGGCGUAGAGAUACGCCUUCCUGGGUAAAACCAGGCAGAGUGCAAGGUGCUGCAUGGCUGUCGUCAGCUCGUGUCGUGAGAUGUUGGGUUAAGUCCCGCAACGAGCGCAACCCUUGUCACUAGUUGCCACGCAAGGGCACUCUAGUGAGACUGCCGGUGACAAACCGGAGGAAGGUGGGGAUGACGUCAAGUCCUCAUGGCCUUUAUGUCCAGGGCUACACACGUGCUACAAUGGUAAGUACAGAGGGAAGCCAACUCGCGAGAGGGAGCCAAUCCCAGAAAGCCGUCCGUAGUCCGGAUCGGAGUCUGCAACUCGACUCCGUGAAGUCGGAAUCGCUAGUAAUCGCAGAUCAGCAUUGCUGCGGUGAAUACGUUCCC
rnacentral:rRNA from 1 species